GGGCGCGUAGCUCAGCGGGAGAGCACCGUCUUCACACGGCGGGGGUCGUAGGUUCAAUCCCUACCGCGCCCACCA
rnacentral:tRNA from 2 species